rnacentral:lncRNA from 1 species
AUGCCUGAGGAGAUGCACCAUGUAGAGGAGGAGAUGGAGACUUUUGUCUUUCAGGCAGAAAUUGCCCAACUCGUGUGUCUCAUCAUCAAUAUCUGCUAUUACAACAAAGAGAUUUUCAUCUGGGAGUUGAUCUCUAAUGCUUCUGAUGCCUUGGACAAGAUUUGCUUUGAGAACCUGACAGGACCUUCCUAGUUAGCCAGUGGUAAAGAGCUGAAAAUUGACAUCACCAACCCUCAGGAACACACCCUACUUUGGUGGACGCAGGCAUUGGCGUGACCAAGGCUGAUCUCAUAAAUAAUUUGGGAACUAUUGCCAAGUCUGGUGUUAAAGCAUUUAUGGAGGCUCCUCAGGCCGGUGCAGACAUCUCCAGGCCUGGGCAAUUUGGUGUUGGCUUUUAUGCUGCCUACCUGGAGGCAGAAAAAGUGGUUGUGAUCAUAAAGCACAAUGAUGAUAAACACUAUGCCUGGGAGUCUUAUGCUAGGGGUUUCUUAACUGUAUGUGCUGACCCUGUUGAUCCCAUUGGCAGUGGCACCAAAGUGAUCCUCCACUUUAAAGAAGACUAGACAGAUAGAGUAUUUCUAAGAGAGGCAGGUCAAAGAAACACUCGUAGUUUAUAGGCUAUCCCAUCACCCUUUGUUUGGAGAAGGAACGGGUGGGUGAAAGAAGUCAGUGACGAUAAAGCAGAAAAAAAAGAAAGGUGAGAAAGAAGAGGAUGAUAAAGAUGAGAAAAAGCCCAAGAUUGAAGAUGUGGGUUCAGGUGACGAGGAUAACAGCAGUAAGGAUAAGAAAAAGAAAACCAAGAUCAAUAACAACAAAAAAAUGCAUUGAUCUGGAAUAACUAAACAAGACCAAGCCCAUUUGGAUCAGAAAGCCUAAUGAAAUCACCCAGGAAGAGUAUGGAGAAUUCUAUGAGAGCCUCACAAAUGAUUGGGAAGACCGCUUGCCACUCAAGCACGUCUCUGUAGAGGGUCAGUUGGAAUUCAGGGCACUGCUAUUCAUCCCUCAUCAGGCUGUCUUUGACUUCUCUGAGAAAAAGAGUAGGGCUUUCUUUGACCUCUUUGAGAACAAUAGAGAAAAGAAAAACUUCAACCUCUAUGUCUGGCAUGUGCUAUGACGAGCUGACACCAGAGUAUCUCAGCUUUAUCCGUGGUGUGCAUAUAUAUAUAUAUAUAUAUGACUUUGAAGAUCUGCCCCGAACAUCUCCCAAGAAGUGUUGCAGCAGAGCAGAAUCCUGAAAGUCCACACAAAAACACUCUUGGGAAGUGCCAUGAGCUCUUCUCUGAGCUGGCAGAAGACAAGGAAUGUUAUAAGAAAUUCCAUGAGGAAUUCUCUAAAAAAUCUAAAGGUUGGAAUCCAUGAGGACUCUAUUAACUGGUGAUGCCUGUCUGAGCUGCUGCACUAUCACACCACCCAGUCUGGAGAUGAGAUGACAUCUCUGUCAGAGCAUGCCUCUCACAUGGAGAUGGGAAGUCCAUCUAUGACAUCACUGGCAAGAGCAAAGAGCAGGUGGCCAACUUUGCUUUUGUGGAAUGAGUGAGGAAGAAGGGCUUUGAGGCAGUAUAUAUGACCAAGCUCACUGAUGAGUCCUGCAUGCAGCAGCUCAAUGAGUUUGAUGGAAAGAGCCUGGUCUCAGUUACCUAGUAGGGUCUUAGGCUACCUGAGGAUGGAGAAGAAGAAAAUGGAGGAGAGCAAGGCAGUUUGAGAACCUCUGCAAGCUCCUGGAAGAAAACUUGAAGAAGAAAACUGAGAAAGUGAAAAUCUCCAAUAGUCUGUUUCUUCAUCCUGCAGCUGCAGUCACAGGUGCACUAUGACUGGCACCUACAGCUGAACAGCCAAUAUGAAGUAGCUUGUGAAAGCUCAGACACUUUGAGACAACUCUAUAAUGGGCUACAUGAUGGCCAAAAAGCACCUGGAAAUCAACCUUGACCAACCUAUUGUGGAGACACUGCAGCAGAAGGCUGAGGUGGACAAGGACGACAAAGCUGUCAAAGACCUGGGGGUGCUGCUGUUUGAAACUGUGGGGCUCUCUUCUGGCUUCUCCCCUGAGGAUUCUCAGACCUACUCCAAUAGCAUCUACCAUGAACAAGCUCGGUCUAGCUACAGAUGAAGAUGAAGUGGCAGCAGAGGAAGCCGGUGAUGCUGUUCCUGAUACAAUACUCCCUCCCGACUCGAGGGCGAUUAGGAUGUGUCUUGCAUGGAGGAGGU